CCUACGGGUGGCAGCAGUGAGGAAUAUUGGUCAAUGGACGAGAGUCUGAACCAGCCAAGUAGCGUGAAGGAUGACUGCCCUAUGGGUUGUAAACUUCUUUUAUAUGGGAAUAAAAUGUUCCACGUGUGGGAUUUUGUAUGUACCAUAUGAAUAAGGAUCGGCUAACUCAGUGCCAGCAGCCGCGGUAAUACGGAGGAUCCGAGCGUUAUCCGGAUUUAUUGGGGUUAAAGGGAGCGUAGGUGGAUUGUUAAGUCAGUUGUGAAAGUUUGCGGCUCAACCGUAAAAUUGCAGUUGAAACUGGCAGUCUUGAGUGCAGUAGAGGUGGGCGGAAUUCGUGGUGUAGCGGUGAAAUGCUUAGAUAUCACGAAGAACUCCGAUUGCGAAGGCAGCUCACUGGACUGCAACUGACACUGAGGCUCGAAAGUGUGGGUAUCGAACAGGAUUAGAUACCCUGGUAGUC
rnacentral:rRNA from 1 species